AACGAUUAGUAUGGGAUUGUCAGACAAACUGACAACAAACUGAACUACUUUUCGGUUUCAACAAGAGAAUGUUUUAUUUAUAAAAAAGAGACAAAUUUGUGUUUCUCCAUUGACCAAUCUCUGUGAUUUAAAACGUUUGCUAGUCUCAAGGUGCUCUGAGGUGGUAGUCAUGAUAUUGUGUUGAUUAUGUGUUUAUCCACAUGCAAACUAACCGCACAGGCUUGUUAUUUGAAAACUGGUUCUUCCCUUCACUAGGUGCACCUCUCUGCGCAAUAUAAGAGACAAUGAAGAAAAAGACUCUGCGUUCAGAGGAAUCUGCACCAUGAUCACGGUCAACCCUGGUGGUGUGGUGCAGGACUUUAUAUUUUUCUGUGAUGCUGUAGCAUCCUGGAUGAACCCAAAAGAUGAUCUUCGAGAAAUGUUCUACAAGAUCUUGCAUGGGUUUAAGAACCAGGUUGGAGACGAGAAUUGGAGACACUUUUCUGACCAGUUUCCUCUUCCACUCAAAGAAAGACUUGCAGCCUUCUAUGGGGUGUAGAUGUUACCUGAUUGAAGAGGUACAUUUCCGUGCGAUUUUCUAAGCUAGCCUGUCUGUUACAGUUUUCUUUCCCAUGAAGUGUAUAUUCAUGCUUGCUAAAAAUUUGUGUAUUUCCUCUACUCAAAUUUAGCAAGCUUUCACAGUUGUUACAAAUUUAUUGUAUAAAAGAAAAUGUGUUGUGAGCACAGUAACAUCGUUCAGAGGUUUGUGGCCAGUAAUUACUAAUUUACAUUAGUAAUUUGGUUUCAUGAACAAACUUGGCUAAUAGUUGGAUAAUGUUAUAAUAGUAAUA